UACGGAGGGGGCUAGCGUUGUUCGGAAUUACUGGGCGUAAAGCGCGCGUAGGCGGCUUUGUAAGUUAGAGGUGAAAGCCCGGAGCUCAACUCCGGAAUUGCCUUUAAGACUGCAUAGCUAGAAUCAUGGAGAGGUGAGUGGAAUUCCGAGUGUAGAGGUGAAAUUCGUAGAUAUUCGGAAGAACACCAGUGGCGAAGGCGACUCACUGGACAUGUAUUGACGCUGAGACGCGAAAGCGUGGGGAGCAAACAGG
rnacentral:rRNA from 1 species